rnacentral:rRNA from 1 species
GACGAACGCUGGCGGCGUGCUUAACACAUGCAAGUCGAACGGAAAGGCCAUGAUUUUGUGGGGUGCUCGAUUGGCGAACGGGUGUGUAACACGUGAGUAACCUGCCCUUGACUGUGGGAUAACUUCAGGAAACAGGGGCUAAUACCGGAUAGGAGCUCCUGCUGCAUGGGGGGGGUUGGAAAGUUUCGGCGGUGUGGGAUGGACUCGCGGCUUAUCAGCUUGUUGGUGGGGUAGUGGCUUACCAAGGCUUUGACGGGUAGGCGGCCUGAGAGGGUGGCCGGCCACCUUGGGCCUGCGGUAGGGACCAGACUGCUACGUGAGGCAGCAGUGGGGAAUAUUGCACAAUGGGCGGAAGUCUGAUGCAGCAACGCCGCGUGCGGGAUGACGGCCUUCGGGUUGUGAACCGCUUUCGCCUGUGCCGAAGCGUGAGUGACGGUAAUGGGUAAAGAAGCACCGGCUAACUACGUG